CUUCCUGUCUCUUUUAAGCCCCAGUAGCGAAGAUUUCCUCCUUUCUCGAAGACGCAGAGGCAUCUGGAGCAGUCGGCACCCAACUCUUAAUAUAUCAAUGACCGAAUUACAGUCCGCUACCAUGAUUUACCAUGACUGCAUAUCAGACGGGCUGCAGGACACAGGAUAAGGGCCGCUCGCUCUCACUGGAGUCCGUGCAUCAGCUGAGAGCAGAGGGAAGGUGCCCAUUAAAUGAAAAUGCAUUUAACAUGCAGGAGGCGGCUGUUACCUGUCCAUCAGGUACUGCAUUAGCAUACAAGUUUGCAGCAUGAAGCCAAUAUGAAGUGAAACUUUGAAUGGCACGCAAAGAAAAUAAGAAUGCAAAGGAUUGUAAGUUUUUCCACAGGCAAAACUAUAAAUCCAGAUGGCAUGCUGGAUCAACCCGAGCCGAUGGAAGAUAACAGUGGAGGGCCGAAAAGACUAGAAAAAAAAAUGAAGGUGGCGAGAGAAUAAGAAUUUCACACCUACAGUACCUACCACACAUGGCUUUCACACAUCGGAUAGGGCUUGGAGAGAAAGCCCAGAUGAACACAAAUGUAAAUGUACCAUUUUAGUAUACAUGACAUUAGUGUUAUUGUCUUCUGCUUUUCACUGUAAUAUCUGUAUCUUCCUGUUUCAUAAUAAACAUUCAACAGUGCAUCCA